GCGGCUCGUGCUUUAGCUCUGGCUCCUCUUGCAUUUUUGCUAGUUACCUACAUUCACAGGGGUCAUACGAGGAAAUGAAAAAAAGUGUACAACAUUGUGACGUACAUACCCAGGCGUACGUAUCGGAGGCGUACAGCUAUAUAUAUAUAUUGAUAUGCGGCCCAAACACUGCUCAGAGCGGGCCAGCUAGCUCUUCAACAUGCUCCUUCACGUCGCACCGUUCCAAAAUAACGUUUGCUCAUAACUAUGCCAGUAUAUGGAUCUUGACUACGUAUGUUACGAUUUAUAUUUUAGAUAUUGACGACCCAGCCAGUGCACAGUUUGACACUAGACCCAAAGGCAUCUGGACAGCUAAGUAUAAAGAGUAUAUCAAUUUAAUCUGAUAGUAACUAAUGUUACCUUCCAGGUGCAAGAAUAGCAACGGGCCGUAAACGAGCUGUGCUUCAACUAGGCACAAAUAUAAAACACAAAUUACUCAAGAGUUUCACCUGAUCAGAGAUUCGUACAGCUCUAGAGCUGUUCUUUAGCCAGCGUAGCCUUAGGAAACAAUCUUAAAAGCUGCAAGACUUCUCUGCAAUUGAUUCGGUUUUUGGUUUACUUUUGCCUCGUUAAACAAAAUUUAAGCUUUAUUUGUCCCGACUUAGGUAUUAAGCUGUAAUUUCCACUGUAGAUUUCAGGCAAUUCCACCCGCUUGUGUGGAAAAAUCGCGAAAAUCGUACGUGUGAAACUUUGUUUGCUUACCUUCCGAUCGUGUUAAAACUUAUUUUCAAAGAUUUGUACAAGAAUUUAUCUUAAACGUGCCACGGCCAAGGCCGGGCUAUGCCCUCUAUGAUCCUAUAUACACAUAGGUCGAAUUUUCCCAACACAUAAAUAGGUCAAAUCUCAUCCGAUUUUCACGAUAUUUGACUCUUUCUUCAUGGCUUGGCCUCCAGAUAAAUAUGGCAACAACAUUUUCUUGUAUAUAAAAUGUUUGAGAAAUUGUUUGUAACAAGCUGAUAAAAACAUCUCAGCAACAGCCCAUUAGGUAUUUAUAUAGUUCCUGCCCAUACUUCGUUCCGACUUGGCUUUUUAGGUAUAACUAGAGAAAAAAAAGCUAGAUAAGCCGAAAACUUGGGUUUGGUUCGACGUUCGGCGAGACGUUGGUUCGAAGCGUGAUUUGAACCAGCGAAAAGUUCUGUUGGGCUUGCCAGCCAGGAUAGCUUCAAGCCGAUUUCGUAUUCUUUGAAAGUGCAUUGAAACUAUAUAAUAAUUAUAGGCCUUCCCUUGAAACCAACGAGAUAUAAAACAGGCAAUAGUACGACAAGAAAAUAAUAACAUUUAAUUGCGUGAUUUAUAAAUAUGAAUUAAAUUAAUCAAAUUUAAUAAUAAUUUGCAUUACACUUAAGUUAUUACAGUUAAGUAUGAGUAGUAAGUCAGUAUUUAUAUAUUUUAGCAAAAACGAAAAAAAAAAAAAACAUAGUGUAAUUAUUUAGGCCAAUUCUGAAUUCUAUUUUGUUGAGCCCAAAGUCAACUUUGGGAAACUGCGGUGAUUUUCUUCUUUUUUUUUUUUAGUA